UGGAUGAGGCAUGCAAGUCGAACGGUUCAGGUUGGUAGCAAUAUUGGCCUUGGAUAGUGGCGGAAGGGCGAGUAAUGCGAGAGCAAGCUACCCUCGGUUCGGGACAACGGCUGGAAACGGCCGCUAAUACCGGAUGCGAUGGUCGGGCCGCAUGGUCCGAUCCUGAAAGGCCGGGACCCCUUUGGGGCCGGUCGCCGAAGGAGGCGCUCCCGUGCCAUCGGCUAGUUGGUGAGGUAACGGCUCACCAAGGCUUACGGCUAGGUGGACUGAGAGGUUGGUCACCCGCACUGGGACUGAGACACUGCCCAGACUCCUACGGGAGGCUGCAGUCGAGGAUCAUUUGCAAUGGGCGAAAGCCUGACAAUGCGACGCUGCGUGCAGGAUGAAGGCCUUCGGGUUGUAAACUGCUGUUAGGAGGGAAAAGGACGCGGACUCCAACAAAGUCUGCCGUUUGAUUGUACCUCCAGAGAAAGUCGCGGCUAACUCUG
rnacentral:rRNA from 1 species